GGCCGGCUGGCGCAAUGGUAGCGCAUCAGACUUCUACCACGUCAGAGACGUGUGGUUAUCUGGGGGUUGUGGGUUCGAGCCCCACGUUGGUCA
rfam:Colletotrichum salicis strain CBS 607.94 Scaffold_1900.1, whole genome shotgun sequence.